GACAGCUCUCAGGACUGAUAGCUGGAGGAGUGGGUGACACUUCCUUCCUCUCUCUCAACCUAGGAAGCAGUGAGAAGAGGAAGAAUGAUGGAGUGGAAAUGAGUUUAACUCUAUGAAAAGCUGUGAAUGACACAAAACCCCUUCAGCCAAGAGCUGAUGAGCUCAUCGACACUCCCUCUUGCUCCCCUGUAGAAACCAGAUGCACGGAAAUGGUGACGAGUCUUUGCCACCUGCUGCUGCCACUGUGAGCUGAGCUUCCCUGGGGCGCCUUCCUCAACAUGAUGGGCUGAGGCCAUCUGAAGCCACGAAACGAAACCAAUCUUCUUCCCUUAGGUUCUGGUGUGUGGUGUGGCAGUUGUGGACACCCCCACGGCCGCCAUAUUAUCUCAGAGGGAAGGACCACGUGCUUCAGGGGCAGCUCCGUUCCAUGAACACACGUUUCUGGUUUCUAUUUUAGGCUCGUAAUUUUCCCUCCCCUGCUUAUUAUUUAUGGAUUCCAGAUCACCACCCACUUGGAAAACAUAUAAAGCUGGCUUGUGUGUGGAGGGAACAGCUCUGGGGAGGUCAGCCAACAAAGCAGUGGUAUGAAAAUCACCCAUCAGCACAGGGCUCCAUUCAGGGCCACAAAUCAAGUCCAGGUGUUCUCUGCCUGGGGCAGAGGUGGGUUCUCGGUGCCUGCUGCCCACGAUCAAGAAGUCUCUAUCCAAGGCCGAGGUCAAACUGUGUUUAAAAGGAUAUUACAGAAACCGUAUGUGUGCACAAAAACAUACUGCCCUCUUUCCUUCCUAGGGCUGGCAAAAUGUGCUGGUCCUUUUUUUCCUUGUAGUUUUUUUCUGAACUGGAAACAAUGUAACAACCAGGGGGAGACACCUACUGCCGCCACUCCCAGCAUAAUCCAGCCAACAGGGACACUGAAGACAGGAAUGAACUAUGGACGUUUCCAGCAAUGGUUUUUUAUACAAUGACAGCAUUUGAGGGACCUACUGGACAUUUUAAGGAGCCAG